CAGGCUGAAACAUGAAGUAGUUCCCCUGAAGCCAGGCUGCUCUGGCUUUGCAUCCAAAGCCACUGAAGUUAGUCCAUAACCUAGAGGAAAUGGAGAUGUUUAAGUGGCUCUUCCUUCCCUCAUACUUCACAUUUGAGCUCAAGCAUGGAGCUGCUUUAUUUCUUCAGGUGGAAGAUCCAGAAGGACACAAAGCUUUAGAUUCUUGUGGGAAUGAUAAUAAUUUGGAUGAACUUCCAGAAGUAGUUAAGACAGGUUUUAAGUGGUUCAUUUUUUAUUCUGAGACACUGAAAACAUGAGCCAAAGAAGUGUAGCAGAGGAAAGCAGGAGAAGAACACAUAAAAGGAUGUAAGGUACUGGACUGUUCUCUA
rnacentral:lncRNA from 1 species